rnacentral:rRNA from 1 species
CAGCAGCCGCGGGAAUACGAAGGGGGCUAGCGUUGCUCGGAAUGACUGGGCGUAAAGGGCGCGUAGGCGGCGAUCAAAGUCAGGCGUGAAAUUCCUGGGCUCAACCUGGGGGCUGCGCUUGAUACUUGGUUGCUUGAGUGGGGAAGAGGGUCGUGGAAUUCCCAGUGUAGAGGUGAAGUUCGUAGAUAUUGGGAAGAACACCGGUGGCGAAGGCGGCGACCUGGUCCUUGACUGACGCUGAGGCGCGAAAGCGUGGGGAGCAAACAGGAUUAGAUACCCCAGUAGUCCCUGUCUCUUAUAC